CCUAGUCCUUCCUUUCCUGGAGCAGAUAACUUGGCUAAGCUUAAGCAGGUUUUCAUGACCAUAGUAAACGCCAGGACAUUCAGACACAGAGUCUUGGCACCUCUAUGUGAUGAAAUCCAUAUACUGACUGUGGUUACAGGGCUGAGCAAAACACAGAACAGAUGAAGAGAUACAGGACCUUCCUAUACCCCCUGCUGCAAUGAGAAUACAGCUUCAGCACACUUUGCUUUUUCAGGCUUUGGAUUUGCAAGCUCACCAGCUGGAUCCUGAAGGAGGUUCAUGAACUUUGCAGCACACAGCUAGUCUGAUCUUGCCUGCACAUAGUUUUAAUUGCAGUAGCUAACAAUUGGUUUGUACUCUAAAGUGUAGGGUAUACGAUCUCUUCCAAAAGUAUUGCUGUCAAUGAUGAUAACUUUGCAUGUUUUCCAUAUCCCAUUAUUUGAAUACUGAUUAUACCUCACCCUCUCCAGCUUUUGGGACAGGGGCUCCUCAUUUUAAUCCUGUGCUUUACAGAGAAGCACUGUGUUUAGCUGCUUUGAAUACUUAGUUGUGUUUUAUUGCAAAGGCCAAGACAGAAUGAAGAAAGGCCCCAUCCAAUCUUCUCAUUGUAUGCUGUAUUUUAUAUACUUCCAUCAAAUCCCAUACUAACCAUCACUUUUCUAAUGUUAGUGAUUCUAGGCUUUGCAAAUUUGCUUGGCAGCAGAAGCUCUGUCUCUUGGCUAAUCCUACUUCUACCCUGCAAUACCCUCACUGAGGAAAUUAUUCUUCCCCUUCCUUACGAAGCCAAACAUUUCCUUUGCUCUUGGUUGCCAUUGAAUGAGAAGCUUUCUGCCAGCUCCUUGCCAUGCCA